rnacentral:rRNA from 1 species
UACGUAGGGGGCAAGCGUUGUCCGGAUUUAUUGGGCGUAAAGAGCGUGUAGGCGGCCUGGAAGGUCAGCUGUGAAAACUCGAGGCUCAACCUCGAGACGUCGGUUGAAACCACCUGGCUAGAGUCCGGAAGAGGAGAGUGGAAUUCCCGGUGUAGCGGUGAAAUGCGCAGAUAUCGGGAAGAACACCGGUGGCGAAGGCGGGUCUCUGGGCAGUAACUGACGCUGAGGAGCGAAAGCGUGGGGAGCGAACAGG